rnacentral:lncRNA from 1 species
UUCACCAGAUGUGUUGACUCAUUUCACAAACGGGUCAGUACAAUUCAUAAACAGCAAUCCUAUUGCUCAUUUCAUAACAGAAAAUAACUCAAAAUAAAUCAUAAAUUUUCUUUUAGAUCUAAUCUAACACAUUCAUGAUAAAUUUUAUAAUUAAGUCCUUUCGCUGCUUCAUCGGCAUGGGAUAUAAUUGCAUCGGCACCCCUACCACCAUAGGAGACCCCAUCGAAUGGGAAGAGAGGGUCUUUAAACCCUACUUUUCUCCUAUGACCGGACGACCAUGGCAACCAACCCAAUUAGAUUACUUGCUACUUGGAUCAAGUAUAUCUAAAUAUACCAAUUUCAAAAUUUAAAUUUUGAAUUUCAAAUUUCAAAUUUUAAAUUUUAAAUUUUAAAUUUCAAAUUUGAGAUUUCAACCAAAUUUCAAAUUUUAAAUUUUCAAUAUUUGAAUUUUAAAUU